AUUUAUGGAUCAAAUUCUUAUCUGAAUAAUAGUGAAACUAGGGAUCAAAUCCUAAAUUAUCUGAUAUAAACCUUCACGGAGGCCUAGAUAUGCAGACCCUCUACUUCGCAUGCACGUCAGACGCCGCUGGAAAGCAGGAUGAACUCCAAUCCAAUUGACUUCACAUAUACAAUUAAUCGAGGGAUGAUAUAUAAUGAUGUGACACUUCAAAUCAGUAGAUAGGAUGCCCAAGAAGGAUCUACACCC
rnacentral:lncRNA from 1 species